GGCUGGAUAACAUGGAGUCGGGCAAGAUGGCGCCUCCCAAGAACGCUCCGAGAGAUGCCUUGGUGAUGGCACAGAUCCUGAAGGAUAUGGGAAUCACAGAAUAUGAACCAAGGGUUAUAAAUCAAAUGUUGGAAUUUGCUUUCCGUUAUGUGACUACAAUUCUGGAUGAUGCAAAAAUUUAUUCGAGCCAUGCUAAGAAACCUAAUGUUGAUGCAGAUGAUGUGAGACUGGCAAUCCAGUGUCGUGCUGACCAAUCUUUUACCUCUCCUCCCCCAAGAGAUGUGAGCAAACUUUGAUUUGAAGUUAUUUUUACUUACAAUUUUUUAAACUGUAGUUCUAAUAAGGAUUUUUUUUUUAAGUUUUUACUGGAUAUCGCAAGGCAGAAAAAUCAAACCCCUUUGCCACUGAUUAAGCCAUAUGCAGGACCUAGACUGCCACCUGAUAGAUACUGCUUAACAGCUCCAAACUAUAGGCUGAAGUCCUUAAUUAAAAAGGGACCUAACCAAGGGAGACUAGUUCCACGAUUAAGUGUUGGUGCUGUUAGUAGCAAACCUACUACUCCUACUAUAGCAACCCCACAAACGGUGUCUGUCCCAAAUAAAGUUGCAACUCCAAUGUCAGUGACAAGCCAAAGAUUUACGGUGCAGAUUCCACCUUCUCAGUCCACACCUGUCAAACCAGUUCCUGCAACAACUGCAGUUCAAAAUGUUCUGAUAAAUCCUUCAAUGAUUGGG
rnacentral:sRNA from 1 species